rnacentral:miRNA from 1 species
CGUGGGGAACCUGACGGGCCU